AUCCAGUUUGCGCUGACAUUACCGUCACACGUUAAACUCCCGCAACUGUGCUCACCGCCGACAGCGGACGUUCAGUAAACCCGGUGAAGCCUAGAAGUUGUCCAUUUCUUUCCAAGCGCCACUCUUCUAUGCGAGGAUGUGAAUUUCCACAGGAGGUUUUGACCCGCGCGCUCCUCACAGAAAUGGGU
ensembl:lncRNA